UUGCGGCCGCAUCACGUUGAAACACUGGUUCACGUCCGAUUACCGAAGGUUAAGAAACGUCAAGCCUGGUCAGUACCAAGAUGGGUGACCGCUUGGGAAUACCACUUGCU